rnacentral:rRNA from 2 species
CUUGCUUCUGGAUAUCUUAGUGGCGGACGGGCGAGUAACGCGUGAGCAACCUGGCCUUCAGAGUGGAACAACGUCUGGAAACGGGCGCUAAUACCGCAUAAUACAAGAGAGUCGCAUGGCUUUUUGUCAAAGGAGAAAUCCGCUGAAGGAUGGGCUCGCGUCCGAUUAGCUAGAUGGGGUGGUAACGGCACACCAUGGCGACGAUCGGUAGCCGAACUGAGAGGUUGAUCGGCCGCAUUGGGACUGAGACACGGCCCAGACUCC